AAGUGGGUCUCUGGAGAUGAGGGUUGUAGCCAAUCCCAGACGAGACCCCAAAAGAAAGACCCCCGGAGCAGGGAGACCCCCACUCAUAUCUUGGGAUGAUGUGACCACCCAAGACCUCACAAGAGAGC
rnacentral:pre_miRNA from 14 species